AGGAGGAGAGAGAGAGGAGAGAGGAGAGAGGAGGAGAGAGGAGAGAGGAGGAGAGAGAGAGGAGAGAGGAGGAGAGAGAGGAGGAGACAGGAGGAGAGAGGAGGAGAAAGAGAGGAGAGAGGAGAGAGGAGGAGAGAGAGAGGAGAGAGGAGGAGAGAGAGAGGAGAGAGAGAAGGAGCGGGAAGACAGGAGGAAGAGGAGGUAAUACUGGAGGCUUCUCCAUCCAUCUGGUGGACUGAUGCUAUUCUAGGAGGGAUUGGAUCAUCAGAGUUAGGGUAAAAGAGAUUCAGGAAGGGAAAGGUAGGAAGGAUUGAUGGGUGAAUGGGUGUUAAUCAGGGCUUCAGGUAAACGACUGUGUCCUUUAGAUCUCCUGGUAUGAUGAAACAGGAAGUGUGUAUUCCUCUUCACUGUCCCUGUGAACAAACAGAACACACACGUUAGCACACACACAUCAACACACUUAAACUGGACUGACCACAUGCAGACUUUCCGCACCUCAUCCACACUCACACCCACAGAUAUACACUCAUCCACACUCACACCAACUCAUCCACACACACACCCACAGAUAUAAACUCAUCCACACACACACACACACACACACACACACACACACACACACACACACACACACACACACACACACACACACACACACACACACACACACACACACACACACACACACACACACACACACACACACACACACACACACACACACACAC
rnacentral:lncRNA from 13 species